UGCAGAAUCCCGUGAACCAUCGAGUCUUUGAACGCAAGUUGCGCCCGAAGCCAUUAGGUUGAGGGCACGUCUGCCUGGGCGUCACAUAUCGUUGCCCGAUGCCAAUUUCCUCUUGAUAAGGAGGUAUGCUGUGCAGGGUGAAUGAUGGCUUCCCGUGAGCACUGCUGCCUCAUGGUUGGUUGAAAAUUGAGUCCUUGGUAGCGUGUGCCAUGAUAGAUGGUGGUUGAGUGAUGCACGAGACCAUAUCAUGUGAGACUCUACCAAACUUGGCCUCUGUGACCCACAUGCGUCUUUGAACGCUCAUGACGAGACCUCAGGUCAGGCGGGGCUACCCGCUGAGUUUAA
rnacentral:rRNA from 1 species